GGGAAGGGGCGCCGCGGCAGCUCGGGGGCAGAAGGACGGGUGGAGCCGGAGACCCAGCCCGAUCCCAAGCCUGGAGCCGGAGCCCCCUGUCCCCAGCACCCUGGGCUCUGCACCGGGGCGCCCCGGCCCCGCAGCGGGGCUCCAGCAGGCAGCUGUGUGAGAUUGACAAGACUGACAGCCAACAACUGAUAUAAUAAGGCAGUAUCUACGGGGACACUACGCCAACAUAAUGAACCCGAUGCCUCUUGUGGACGUGGAGUUUCUGAGGACUUCCUGUCCAUUCUGAAUUCUUCCAUUGUGCAGCAUCACCCUUUCCCAUGGGCAGCAUCUCUUCUCCCUCAAACCGGGACCAGAUCAGAUUGGAUCAGACGCGUCCGAUUCGUACUCAGAUUUCUCUAUCAAGGUGACAGCUUCCUAUUUUGUUCAUAUCUAAAAUACAAUAAAAACUAGUUUAUUAGAUAUGUAAUUGGAAAGAAUAAAACCUAAGUGACUAGA